CCACUACAUGCUGAGACUUCGACCAACCGCGGCGUUCAAAGGAGAGACGAGAGAGCAACAAAGAGCCAAAGAGGCAUUAAAACUGGGAAAAAAAAAAGAAUAAAUGAAGCUUUGCUGGUUGCUAGCAUGUAUAUCACAAGAAUAAUAAUAAUAUAUGAAUAUAUAUGUAAGUAUGAUACCGAAAAAACCCGAAAAUGUACGAAGUUCUGGAGGGAUACUUCUGCGUCGAGGUAAAAGUAUAUCCAAGGGCUCUUCUUCAAAGGAAAUUCACAGGUAAUAGAAUUGAUGAAUGCAAGUGUGCCAUGUGCUGACUUGGAUACACUCUGCUUCACCCCACUCGCAAAUUAAAUUGUUCAAUUUUUAUUUACUGUAUUAACAUAUGAUAUAUAUGGAUGUUCUAGUUAGCAAAUUGUCUAAUGUGAUAUUUUUUAGUAGGUGAUUCUGUGCAAUUUUCAGAUACUAAUGGGAAAAAUAUUUUUUGAGUAACGUACGCAAAAAUAUUAUACAUAUACUAGAUAUGGGAUUGAUUAGAUGAAAAACAAAUUUUUUAAUUACUUUGACAAUUUGCUAAUUGGAGAUUUAUUGUAUUUUAAUGUCAAGCGCAAAAAAAGGAGUGUUCUGAUUGAUUUUAAGAGAUGGUAUUAAAAUGGUAAUAACUAUAAAGUUAUGAGAAUUUUGAAAAAAUUUAUCAAAGAUAAGUUGUAGGGAAGAAAAUUAUCUACAAAAAAUGUUUUGCCAAAAAAAGUUAAAAGUUUUCAAAAUUUACUAUAAAUUUGACUUAAUGCUCAAAUUUAUAGUAAAUUUUGAAAAUGUAUCCUGAGUAUUUGUACAAUGUGCCAUUACCGAGGUACUGCAAAAUUCAAAAUUUUUAAUUUUUUCCCAUUAUUUAUAUGGGAAAUAAAAAAUUGUAACUAGAAAAUAAGUGUGAAUGUAGCUGACAAUUAUAAUUUUUCAAAUUUUGAAAUGAGUGAAUUAAAUAUGAAUAGAAUAAAAUUUAAAAAAUGCACAUUUAUAGAAUUUAAAAUUCAGUAUGUGCAUUUUUAAAAUUUUUUAAUUCCUUCAUUCGUAAUUUAAAAUUUUUCUCAUAUCUGCUACAUUCGCUAUCAGGGAAUACUCAAUAUUAAGGCUCAAAUCCUAACGGACGUCUUCUUUUAUCCUACUGAAACUUUCGAGUGUGUCCUAAGAAAAAAACAGUCGAUUUUUUUGAAUCAGUCUCAUAUAUGUAUUCAUAUAUACUUUGUUGUAAGUCUAAUAAUUUAAUUAAACGAUCCGUUGAUUUAAAUAAGAAUAAUGUGAAGAAGAAUAAAAAAUCCAUCAAGCUGCAUUGGUCUAAAACAGAUGGAAAACAACCAUGCUAUUAUUGAGUCACUUAUUUUUAGAUCAAAUUUAAGUUAUAAACGACCGGUCUCCAAGGGUCUUAAUAUAUAAGUAUUUCAUAUUAACUAGACUAUCAGACUUUGAAUUUAUGAGUUUUAUUUUUUUUUAUUUACCCAGUUUGAUUUCUGAGCUAUCGAUUAUAGGUGCAGCUUUUUUUUUUUAUUUUAAAUUCUCGUCUAAGCCUCUUGGACAGCCAUUUCAGCCAACUAGUCAUCACUGCCAAGUCUUUAUUUAUAAUCACACAAAUUCUUCGUUAACGUAUCUGUUAAUAGUUACUAUGCACCACAAGCAAAUAACAUUAAUUUUUUUUUUUCAGCUUUUGACUCAUUUGCUCUCAAUCAACAUGAUAAAGAAUGCAAAUUAAAAAUAAAUAUGUCUAAUUAAUAAAUUUUUUUUUUUUUAGUAUAAUUAAAUAAUGGAGUUAAGUAUAAAUGUAAUAAUUAAGAAAUAUAAAUUAUAAGUUCAUUGAGACCAGCAACUAAAGUACAUGCGUUUUGUUCAUGACUCAAGAAUAAUUUAAGCAGAUGUCCCAUUUUACAAGCAAAUUAAUGCGACUAAAUGAGGCCAAAAAAUUAUACUGGACUAACAGAAAAGACCAUUCAAGCGAGUGCUAGGUUCUGGGAAGAGACGCGAAUCGACGAAAGCCGGUGCCCGACUAUGCUUACAUUAUACGAAACAGUAAGAAAGAAUGAAGGUAAGCGGUAAUGUUAAGAGCAAGAAAGAUGAACAAUCGCGUGGAAUUCCUUCAUGCCGUUACGAACACCACGAAAAGUAAAGGCGACUUUGGUGUUUUGUAUUUGAAGAAUAAAUUUCAUCAGAAUACCUCACAAUCUUACAUAAUUUGACACAAAAUAAAAACUUAAAUUAAAUAAAGUCGAGAAUUUUUUUUUUUGUGAUAUACUUCAAUAAAUUCUGAAACUAAUUCACCUUUAUAUCAGUUACCAAAGUGGAUUGAACUCUACCUCCUCUUCAGAUCGUGACAAACUGAUGGAAAGACCACGAAUAGUUUCAUAAAGACUUUAAAUUAUGUCUAGCAAUCAAUUGUACCUGAAGAUUUGACAGCUUAAAGGUGACAGGGGUUAAUUGAGGGUGGCUGCGAUUUUCGGCUGGCAUACUAGUAUGCGAAACAUUUUUAAAAUCUAGAUCCAGUAGAAUGUGUGGUUUGAAGAUAUGAACAAUAGAUUAUAAAAUGUCACCAUAAAAUAAAAAAUUAUUAAAGA